rnacentral:tRNA from 1 species
GCUGAUGUUGGCGCAGUGGUGGUAGAGCGCUUGCCUGUUAAGUCAGGAUCCGUUUGUUCGAUCCCUGCCAGAAGCA